AGCGAACGCUGGCGGCAGGCCUAAAACAUGCAAGUCGAACGCCCGUAGCAAUACGGGAGUGGCAGACGGGUGAGUAACACGUGGGAACGUGCCCUUUGGUUCGGAACAACACAGGGAAACUUGUGCUAAUACCGGAUAAGCCCUUACGGGGAAAGAUUUAUCGCCAGAGGAUCGGCCCGCGUCUGAUUAGCUAGUUGGUGAGGUAACGGCUCACCAAGGCUACGAUCAGUAGCUGGCUGAGAGGAUGAUCAGCCACAC
rnacentral:rRNA from 1 species